GCUUACGGCCACACCGGCCUGAGUACGCCUGAUCUCGUCCGAUCUCAGAAGCUAAGCAGGGUCGGGCCUGGUUAGUACUUGGAUGGGAGACCGCCUGGGAAUACCAGGUGCUGUAAGCU
rnacentral:rRNA from 1 species